GGAUGUAGCUCAGUAAUAGAGCAUGUGCUUACCAUGUGCAAGGCCCUGGGUUCAAUUCCUAGUGCAUCCA
rnacentral:tRNA from 1 species